GGGUCGGUAGCUCAGUCGGUAGAGCANNGGUAGAGCAGCGGACUUUUAAUCCGUUGGUCGCGAGUUCGAAUCUCGCCCGACCCACCA
rnacentral:tRNA from 1 species